UGACGUAGGGGGCAAGCGUUGUCCGGAUUUAUUGGGCGUAAAGAGCGUGUAGGCGGCCUGACAGGUCUGCUGUGAAAACUCGAGGCUCAACCUCGAGAUGUCGGCGGAAACCGUCUGGCUAGAGUCCGGAAGAGGAGAGUGGAAUUCCUGGUGUAGCGGUGAAAUGCGCAGAUAUCAGGAAGAACACCUAUGGCGAAGGCAGCUCUCUGGGACGGUACUGACGCUGAGACGCGAAAGCGUGGGGAGCGAACAGG
rnacentral:rRNA from 1 species